GUUGCAGACAAGACAGUGCACUUUCAGACCGCACCAGUGGUGAUGUGCUCUCCCAGGCCAACCUGGGGCUCCAGUGCUUGGUGCUUAAGGUCUGUCUUCCAUCUCUGCUCCACCCUCAGUCCAGCUGUGAAAAUUCUCCAGCAUCCUUCAGCCUGCCUCAGCCCGCAGUCUCUCCCUCAUUCCCGCCACGACCUAGCCUUCUGCGACCCAGUCCCAGCCCAGUGAGGCUGACUGGAGAGAACCUCAGCCAGAGGCUUUGGGAGGCCAGGGGCCAGAUAAGAAUGAUACUCCCCCAACGUCUGGGGUCUUAAAAGCCUGUGAGCAGCCAUCUAAGAUACUCCAUUGGUCUCACCCCUUCGAGAGCAAGGGAGAAUGAAGAAAACUAAAGAUAUAAUGGAAAGAUUAGUCCCAAGGACGAAUAGACCGCAGCUACCACAGCCUGCGCCAGACUGAGUGCAGUACAACUAGGUGGUGCCUGGCUACCACCACUGACUGCUCUGACAGGGAUCAUAUAAUACAGGGCCCCAGAUGGGGCUGGAGAGAAAUGCAGAGUAAAAUUCGAAUUCACAAAAAAAAAGACCAGACUUACUGGCCUGACAGAGACUAGAGAAACCCUGAGAGUAUGGCCCCAGAACACCCUUUUAGCUCAGUAACAAGUCACUCCUGAGGUCUCCCAGUCAGCUGAAGAUAAGACAGGCCCAUAAAAUAAAAUGAGACUAAAGGGUCACACCAGCCCAGGGGCAAGGAGUAGAAGGUAGGAGGGGACAGGAAAGCUGGUACUAGGGAACUCAGGGUCAAGAAAGGAGAGUCAUGGGGUUGUUAACUAAUGUCAUAAAACAAUCUGUGUACUGUUUAAUGAGAAACUAGUUUAUUCUAUAAACCCUCUUCUAAAGCACAAUAAGAAAAAAAAAUGAUACUCACCUAAAUGAAAUCUAGUAUUCUGUGUUGGAUCCUGGGAUAAGAAAAGGACAUCUAGUGAAAAAAAACUGGUAAAAUCUGAAUAAAGUCUGGAGUGAAAUUCACGGCAUUAAUGUUAAUUUCCUUGUUUUGGUAAGUGGAUGUUAACAUUAGGGGAAGCUGGGUGAAGGGUAUUUGGGGAGUCUGUAUACUGUUUUUGUAAUUCUUGUCUAAAUCUAAAAUUAUUCCAAAAUAACAUUUUUAAAAAUAAUAUUCACAAAUCGUACAGAAUAUGGGAAAGUUUUGGCUAAGAUAUUAAGGGAAAAAAGCAAAAUUCAAAAUUGCAUAACAGUGUGAUUGCAAUUAUGCAGAAAAUUUAUUUCAUAGGAAAAAAGACAAAAAGAAAAUAUGCAAAUUAUCAACAGUUGUUGCUUGGAACCAUGAAACUGAGAGUAAUUUAAAUCCUUUCUUUUUUUUUUUAACGUUUCCCAAUUUUUCCUUGAUAUGGGAUCUGAACUAGUCAGAGCUCUUAAGAGGCUGCAAACAUCAGAAGGGGCUGGUUAACUUCCGGACAAAAGGACUUUAGGGAAAAGUCAGGGAUUCAGGCCCCCAAAAUGGGCAGGGCAAAGGGAGGGUGGCAGCAAGCCCACGCAGCCCAGGCCACAGGGCCGCCACCUGCAUCCACUGCCCUGCUUGUAUGACUUUGGGGGCCAGGUUCAAAUUCUAGAUCUUGGAUAAGUUUUUUUUUUGCUUAUUUUAUGUAUUUAUUAUUAUUGUACUUUAGAUGAAGGUUUACAGAAUAAACUAGUUUCUCAUUAAAGAGUUAGUACACAUAUUGUUUUAUGACAUUAGUUAACAACCUC